GUCAAGUCAUCAUGCCCCUUAUGCCCAGGGCUACACACGUGCUACAUUGGCGCGUACAGAGGGAAGCGAUACCGCGAGGUGGAGCAAAUCCCAAAAAGCGCGUCUCGGUUCGGAUUGGAGGCUGAAACUCGCCUCCAUGAAGGUGGAGUUGCUAGUAAUCGCGGAUCAGCAAUGCCGCGGUGAAUACGUUCCCGGGUCUU
rnacentral:rRNA from 1 species